rnacentral:rRNA from 1 species
AUGGGCGCAAGCCUGAUGCAGCCAUGCCGCGUGUGUGAAGAAGGCCUUCGGGUUGUAAAGCACUUUCAGCCGUGAGGAAGGCAUUGUACUUAAUACGUGCAGUGUUUGACGUUAGCGGCAGAAGAAGCACCGGCUAACUCCGUGCCAGCAGCCGCGGUAAUACGGAGGGUGCGAGCGUUAAUCGGAAUUACUGGGCGUAAAGCGCAUGCAGGCGGUCUGUUAAGCAAGAUGUGAAAGCCCCGGGCUUAACCUGGGAACCGCAUUUUGAACUGGCAGGCUAGAGUCUUGUAGAGGGGGGUAGAAUUUCAGGUGUAGCGGUGAAAUGCGUAGAGAUCUGAAGGAAUACCGGUGGCGAAGGCGGCCCCCUGGACAAAGACUGACGCUCAGAUGCGAAAGCGUGGGGAGCAAACAGGAUUAGAUACCCUGGUAGUCCACGCCGUAAACGAUGUCUACUUGGAGGCUGUAGUCUAGAACUGUGGCUUUCGGAGCUAACGCGUUAAGUAGACCGCCU